GCAAGUCGAACGGUAACGUUGCUUCUUGCACCAGAUGACGAGUGGCGCACGGGUGCCAAACGCGUAUACAAUCUACCUUUUACAGAGGGAUAGCCCAGAGAAAUUUGGAUUAAUACCUCAUAGUAUUAUUUAAUGGCAUCAUUAGAUAAUUAAAGAUUUAUCGGUAAAAGAUGAGUAUGCGUUCUAUUAGUUAGUUGGAGGGGUAACGGCACCCCAAGACAGCGAUAGAUAGGGGCCCUGAGAGGGGGAUC
rnacentral:rRNA from 1 species